rnacentral:rRNA from 1 species
GACGAACGCUGGCGGCGUGCUUAACACAUGCAAGUCGAACGGAAAGGCCCUGCUUUUGUGGGGUGCUCGAGUGGCGAACGGGUGAGUAACACGUGAGUAACCUGCCCUUGACUUUGGGAUAACUUCAGGAAACUGGGGCUAAUACCGGAUAGGAGCUCCUGCUGCAUGGUGGGGGUUGGAAAGUUUCGGCGGUUGGGGAUGGACUCGCGGCUUAUCAGCUUGUUGGUGGGGUAGUGGCUUACCAAGGCUUUGACGGGUAGCCGGCCUGAGAGGGUGACCGGCCACAUUGGGACUGAGAUACGGCCCAGACUCCUACGGGAGGCAGCAGUGGGGAAUAUUGCACAAUGGGCGGAAGCCUGCUGCAGCAACGCCGCGUGCGGGAUGACGGCCUUCGGGUUGUAAACCGCUUUCGCCUGUGACGAAGCGUGAGUGACGGUAAUGGGUAAAGAAGCACCGGCGAACUACGU